UAUACCUUUGUGGUGCGGGCAGAGGAGCAAUUUUAUUUUUAUUUUUCUUGACUUAAUUUCCCUUUUCUUUUAAGUCUCCUCUAUAUAUUUUGUCCCUAUCUACUAUCUAGCGAAACCACAGCCAAGGGACCGGGCUUGGAAAAAUCAGCGGGGAAAGAAGACCCUGUUGAGCUUGACUCUAGUCUGACUCUGUGAAGAGACAUGAGAGGUGUAGCAUAAGUGGGAGGCCGUGAACCCUCGCGGUUGUGUCGUGCCGUCAGUGAAAUACCACUACUUUCAUCGUUUCUUUACUUACUCGGUGAAGCGGAAAGCGGACCAUGAGUGUCCACGCUUCUAGCACUAAGUGCAAGGCCCUUCGUUGGCCCGCACGAUCUGUUCCGAGGACAGUG
rfam:Ixodes scapularis strain Wikel colony gcontig_1107729069316, whole genome shotgun sequence.